UGAAGCCAGAGAACUGAGAUCCAGGAUGGGGGGGGUGCAGGGGGCUCCAUCAGGACAGCCGACAGGAGCGGGUCCUGCAGAGCUAGAGGGAGACCCAGAAGCCCCCAUUCCCGUCCCCACGCUAAGAUCCUGGCUGGAGGGUCCUACUCUUUCCUUGAUCGGAGAAGGGGGGCCAGGGGACUGAAUCACGGCUGCCGGCGCGCUGGGAAAGGCCUGGAGACCGAUUCUGGGCUUCCGGAGAGCCCCAAGGCCCCCGCCAAGCCGAGCCCCUCCCCGGCCCGCGGCGGCCGCCUGAGCAUUUAAGGCUCCAGGUCCCUGCCUUGGCCGGCUUGGCAUUGCCUCUGGCUGGAGACUGAUGGAGAGAGAGGAGGGGUCAGCAAGGUUCCUGAGAACCGAUGCUGAGGUCGUUUGCCAGUCAUCUCUGCGUCAUCAAAAUACCACCCGGAGCCUUCUCUCAAGUCACCUGCCCAUCUCUGGCGUUUGCUGCCUCACGGUGCUCCUCCCCCACCCUGCAGAAAAGCUGCCCUGCCAGGCAACGGGCCUCCACCCCAAAUCCCGACCUCUGUUUGACCCUCGCACUGCAGGAGCCGCAGCAGAUGUGAUGCUGGGGUCUCU